rnacentral:rRNA from 1 species
AGCGAACGCUGGCGGCAGGCUUAACACAUGCAAGUCGAACGCAUCCUUCGGGGUGAGUGGCAGACGGGUGAGUAACACGUGGGAACGUACCUUUUUGUUCGGAAUAACUCAGGGAAACUUGAGCUAAUACCGGAUACGCCCUUAGGGGGAAAGAUUUAUCGCAGAAAGAUCGGCCCGCGUCUGAUUAGCUAGUUGGUGAGGUAAAGGCUCACCAAGGCGACGAUCAGUAGCGGGUCUGAGAGGCUGAUCAGCCACACUGGGACUGAGACACGGCCCAGACUCCUACGGGAGGCAGCAGUGGGGAAUAUUGGACAAUGGGCGCAAGCCUGAUCCAGCCAUGCCGCGUGAGUGAUGAAGGCCCUAGGGUUGUAAAGCUCUUUCGGCGGGGACGAUAAUGACGGUACCCGCAGAAGAAGCCCCGGCUAACUUCGUGCCAGCCGCCGCAGUAA